AAAGGUCGAUGCGAUCGUGGUUCC
rnacentral:siRNA from 1 species